rnacentral:rRNA from 1 species
UACAGAGGUGGCAAGCGUUGUUCGGAAUUACUGGGCGUAAAGGGCGCGUAGGCGGCCAUCUAAGUCAGACGUGAAAUCCCCCGGCUUAACCUGGGAACUGCGUCUGAUACUGGAAGGCUUGAGUAUGGGAGAGGGAUGUAGAAUUCCAGGUGUAGCGGUGAAAUGCGUAGAUAUCGGGAGGAACACCAGUGGCGAAGGCGACUACCUGGCCUGUUCUUGACGCUGAGGCGCGAAAGCUAGGGGAGCAAACGGG